AAGGCCCCACCCCCACAGACUUAAGUGAAGACCCGCAUUCCUACUUUCUAUCCCAAAUGUUGCGUUUUCUAAGACCACUCUGGCCCGCCAUACCUCCAUCCUGGGCCUAUAAAAAUCCGAGACCCUAGCAAGACAGAAACGGAAGCUGCUGGACGACGAGAUGAAAAUAUCGGCCAAAGAAGACAAGCCACCGGACAUUGAGAGGACAUCGAGGGGAGCCCCCGCUUGUCGCACGCCCUGCCACAGGGAUGAGGGAACCUCUCCAGUUUCAAUAUGUAUGUAUAUCUAUCCACACACAUAUAUAGCCAUAUAUAUAUAUUUAGCUUAACAGUCUUUAGUAGUAAAUAUUAUUGAGAGGUGACAGCAUGCUAGCUCGCUCUCGGUGCCUCCUCGGCCUCGGCGCCCACUCUGGCCGCGCUUGAGGAGCCCUUCAGCCCGCCGCUGCACCGUGGGAGCCUUUCUCUGGGCUGGCCGAGACCGGAGCCGGCUCCCUCAGCUUGCGGGGAGGUGUGGAGGGAGAGGCGCGGGCCGAAACCAGGCCUGCGCACGGCUCUUGCGGGCCAGCGCGAGUUCCGGGUGGGUGUGGUCUCGGCGGACCCCACACUCCGAGUGGCCGGCCGGCGCCACCGGCCCGCGGCAGUGAGGGGCUUAGCACCCGCGCCAGCAGCUGCGGAGGGUGCGGCGGGUUCCCCAGCAGUGCCGGCCCGCCAGCGCUGUGCUCGAAUUCUCGCCGGGCCUUAGCUGCCUCCCCGGGGGGCAGGGGUUAGGACCUGCAGCCCGCCAUGCCUGAGCCUCCCCCACCGCCGUGGGCUGCUGCGCCGCCGGGACCCUCACUGACUAGCGCCGCCGCAGCCUCACUGACUAGCGCCGCCGCCUGCUCUGUGGUGCCUGGUCCCAUCGACCACCGAAGGGCUGAGGAGUGCGGGCGCAAGGCGCAGGACUGGCAGGCAGCUCCACCUGCGGCCUCCUGCAGGAUCCACUGGGUGAAGCCAGCUGGGCUCCCGAGUCUAGAGGGGACUUGGAGAAUCUUUAUGUCUAGCCAAGGGGUUGUAAAUACACCGAUCAGCACCCUGUGUCUAGCUCAGGGUUUGUGGAUGCACCAGUCAGCACUCUGUGUCUGGCUAAUCUGGUGGGGACUUGGAGAAUCUUUAUGUGUAGCUAAGGGAUUGUGAAUACACCAAUCAGCACUCUGUAUCUAGCUCAAGGUUUGUAAAUGCACCAAUCAGUACUCUGUGUCUAGCUUAGGGGGUUUGUAAAUACACCAAUCAGCACUCUGUAGCUAGCUAAUCUAGUGGGGACUUGGAGAAGUUUUGUGUCUAGCUCAGGGAUUGUAAACGCACCAAUCAGCAGCCUGUCAAAACAGACCAAUCAGCUAUCUGUAAAAUGGACCAAUCAGCUGUCUGUAAAAUGGACCAGUCAGCAGGAUGUGGUGGGGCCAGAUAAGGGAAUAAAAGCAGGCUGCCCAAACCAGCAGUGGCAAGCCCCUGGGGUUCCCUUCCACAGUGUGGAAGCUUUGUUCUUUUGCUCUUUGCGAUGUCUUGCUGCUGCUCACUCUUUGGGUCCACACUGCCUUUAUCAGCUGUAACACUCACUGCGAAGGUCUGCAGCUUCACUCCUGAAGCCAGUGAGACCAGGAACCCACCAGAAGUAAGAAACUCCGAACACAUUGGAACAUCAGAAGGAACAAACUCUCCCGACAGGCUGCCUUUAAGAACUGUGACACUCACUGCGAGGGUCCGCAGCUUCAUUCUUGAAGUUGGUGAGACCAAGAACCCACCAAUUCCGGACACAUUAUCAUUUCCAUUUCAUAGAAGGAAAAAGAGAGCUUAGCAGAGUUAAGUAACAUUACCAUGGUCAAUAAAAUAGUUGUACUGAACUAAUAAACAAAGUACAAGCCUGUCCAAGUACAAAGCAUUGCUUUAAAAUCAGGAUAUUAUUUGUAAAGUCAUUUCUCUUCUAAAGGAAGAAUGAUGUUAAGAUUUUACAAAUAAUUCAGGGUCAGUAUUAAAGAUUCUUGGGGCCAGACGUAGUGGUUCAUGCCUGUAAUCCUAGCACUUUGGGAGGCCGAAGCGGGUGGAUCCCCUGAGGUCAGGAGUUCGAAAUGAGCCUGGCCAACAUGUUGAAACCCUGUGUCUACUAAAAAUACAAAAAAUUAGGUGGGCGUGGUGGCAGGACCUGUAAUCUCAGCUACUCAGGAAGCUGAGGCAGGAGAAUCACUUGAACCCGGGAGGCGGAGGUUGCUGUGAGCCAAGAUCGCGCCAUUGCACUCCAGCCUGGGCAACAAGAGCUAAACUCCGUCUCAAUAAAUAAAUAAAUAUAUAAAUAAAUAAAGAUUCUUGGAAGCCACUGACAGUGCACUGGUAUCUUAGUGAAGAACAUUUUGGUGGCACCCUCCUAGUUCUCUUGUCCAGAUAUAAAAACUUACUUAUUUCGUGUAUACAAAAUAAUAAGUAAAAAUGUAUCAUAUAAAAAUCAUAUGUAUUAUAUAUGAGAUAUAUGUCUAAUAUAUAUGUAGUAGAUAUAAAUAUCACAUCUUAUAUUUCAAUUAUUAUUGUAUAUAGCAGCAGUUCUUAGGUGACUAUAGUUAAUGAUCUUUGAACAAUAUUAAACAAUAGGAGACAUUUUCACGUCAAUAAGAUAUUGCAUAUUAAAAUGCACAAGAAAACUUUAAGACAACUAAACUGUCUUCACAUAUGUGGAUACACAUAUUCCAAAAUAUAUUUUUAUUUUUCAAUAGCAUGUAACAUAAAAUUGUAACAUAUAUUUAAUAGGCCCUACUUUUGCAAGAUGAUGUGAGUUUCUUUGCUUUGGAAAAUAUUCUGAAUUCAUCUGUGACCCUCCAGUGCUUUGUAUAGUGCAAUGGACUGAAAGUUUGCCCCCUAAUUCAUAUGUUGAAAGCUUUUUCCAUAAUGUGACGGUAUUUAUAAGUGGGGCCUCUGGAAGGUAAUUAGGAUUAGAUGAGGUCAUGAGGGUGGAGCUCUUCAUAAUUGGGAUUAUGAGUGUUCUUCUUAUGAAAGCCCAAAAGGAAGCUUGCCUUUCUGCCCUUCACCAUGUGGCCAUACAAUAAGAAAUCAGGGUCGGGCGAGGUGGCGCCAACGCCUGUAAUCCCAGCACUUUGGGAGGCCGAGGCAGGCGGAUCACCUGAGGUCGGGAGUUUGACACCAGUCUGACCAACAUGGAGAAACCCCAUCUCUACUGAAAAUACGAAAUUAGCUGGGUGUGGUGGCACAUGCCUGUAAUCCCACCUACUUGGGAGGCUGAGACAGGAGAAUCACUUGAAUCCGGGAGGCGGAGAUUGCAGUGACCUGAGAUCGCGCCAUUGCACUCCAGCCUGGACAGCAAGAGGGGAACUCCAUCUCAAAAAAAAAAAGAAAAAUAAAAAUAAAUCAUCAGUCUGCACCCGGAACUGGACUCUCACCAGAACGCUACAGUGCUGGUAGUACCCUGAUCUGGAACUUUCAGCCUCCAAAACUGUGAGAAAUUGAUGUCUGUUGUUUAUGUACCACUGAGUCUAUGGUAGGUUGUUACAGUAGCCCCAACUGACUAAGACACGGUAUCAGGACCCAAAUUGUAAUUCUCAAGUUAGCAUUGGUUUAAGGUCCAAAGACUUCGCUUUGGCUUCUACUUUUUUAUAUUCCACAAUAGUAAGGAUGAUUAAAUUUCUUUCCUGAUUUCUAACCUAUACUUUAUUAAUAAUGAUAGUACAAGUAAUAAUUAUUCAAAUAGCAGCAAUAGCUAUAGCUAAGAUUUAACAAGAGUUCACUAAAGCAAGUAUUUAUUAAGUACUUUAUAUAUUAUCUCAUUUAUAUCUCCUAAUAACCCUUCAAAAUGCACACUAUUAUUGUGACUAUUUUGCAGUUGAGAAGCUCAAGUUAGAAUUGGCCAGAGCACAGAGCUAAUACCUAAUGAAACGGUGUUUUGCCUCAAAUAUCUUCCUAUUCCUCACUUGUAGAUUCAUCCUUUAAGGACUGUGUUUCCCAACUGAGGGAUUCAAGAUCCUGUUCCAUGUAGUUCAUGUUUUUCAAAUGUAUUAAAGCUUUAUUGCUGUUUUUUAAGGUAGAAAUAAAAUGGUAUUUAAACAUUUUCUCAUAGAAGAAAAAGAAACAAAGAAGACAAAUACUGCUUGUGUUAUUUGUCAUAAGAAGUCAUCACCAAUGGUCUUAAUGAAUCCAUUAUCCUUUGGACCUCUUACUCAUUUGAAUACAGCUUACAAUAGUGAUAAUUUUGAUAAUUGUUAUUUUUAAUUGCAUUCUAUAAUUUGCAUGUAUUGCUUAAUUUAUUCCACUAUAACCACUAGUAAAUUAGACAUCAAAAAUAAAUAAAAAUUCAAAAUAAGUACAAAUAUUUUAAAAUUAAAUAAAACCACAUACCAAAGAUUGGCAAAUAUCCAAUCUUUUUUUUUCCACUUAUAUAAAGUUUAGUUUAGAUUCCCUCAGAAACUGUUAUGUGAAGAUUAAGUACAAGUAUUUUAUUUUGGGAAUUGUUCCAGAGACAAUAGUAUGGAAAUAGAAAUACAUGGCUCUUAUUACUAGUACAUCUGGCAUUGAAUAACAGUGCAUUCUAAGCUCUCUAUAUUGUAUAUGGUGUGAUAUCAACUUUCAUUGGGGAUUUGGAGAAAAUAGAAUAUACUGAGCUGAAAUUAGACCUCUUUCCAUUUCUGUUACCGCAGCCUCUUCAUAUCUCUACUAUUUCUCCUUUACUCCUGACAUUCAAAGUGUUUUGCAUUCUAUCAGUAUUUCAGAAUUAAUUUAUUUAACUGUGUUUAGUAACUUCAUAACUGAACUAAAGAUAGAUGACAGUACCGUCGAAUAAAGCAAUGGAAUAAAUUCUGUUAAGAAUAAAGAGAUAGCAAAUAUCGAAAUUGAUUCAUAUUAGCAAGGACAAUAUCAAGCAAAUUAGACAUUUGGAUUUCUUUCAUGUACUUAGAAUAAAUAGCUCCUUUGGAGGGAUAGGAGCAGAAAACAGAUUUCUGGGGACGUAAGAAAUAAAGGGGAGAUAAGAAGCAAUAAUACCCUUUCAAGAAGCUUAUCUAUAAAGAAGAGAAUAUAGUACCUAGUGGAGAAAUUAGGUCAAAGGAGAUAUUUCUGGACUUAUUUUUAAAGCCUGUAUUGCUUUUUAUAAAACUAAAAAGAAUUCUUGUUGAUUGUACAAUAUUGAAAAUCCAAAUGACUUUUGGUUAAUAUAAGGAAAUAUCUUUUUUUAAUCACUUAAAAAUGGAAAGGGAUGAUUUAUUAGCAAGUGAAUUAUCUAAUGAUGCUAAUGAUUUUUCAAAUAAAAAGUCAUUUCCUGAAUCAAAUUCCUUUCUAAUUAUGUAGAAAUAUCCUCCUGUAUUGUUUGCUUGGAGCUCUUUAGCUAUAUAUACACUAACUGUGUCUAUGCUCAAACACUUCCAGUUUGUGCUACAGGUAAGUUUUUUUAAAAUAUUUAUGUUGUUUUCUAUGUGGUAGAUGAGAGUUACACCUCAUUUUUUAGUAUUUAUAUAAGAGAUUAACAAUGUGCUCUAAGAAUAACCACUGAACAGUAUUUUAAAGAAAAAAAAAGUUAGACUUUAUAUGAAGAAGAAACACAAGUGUAUAUAUAAAAGAGAAAACAUAGAGAUAUUUUUCAUGGUUAAUUUAAUUUCCAGAUGAAAAUGAAAAGUGCGCAUAUCAUCAACUUCUCUUAGUACUCCACUUAAAUUUUAGGUUUGUUACGUAGUAUAAACAUUUGUACUAAGACCUCAGUCUCAAAUUCUGGGAUAGAGUUUUGUUCCUCAGAGUCUACUAAACUUUUGAAAAGCUGAAAAUAUUUCGCACAAGGGAAACUUUUUAUUUCUUAAAGAUAAAAUGUUGAAAACUCCAUUGUUCUCUCUCCAUUUAUGCCUAUGGUGACACAGUUUAUCAAUUUUUACAUAGGAGGAGCUGGGAUGAGUAAAUAACUCAGGGCUGGUAUAUGAUUAAAUAUAUUUCACACUGCGAGAGGUUUUUAUUUCUAAUUUAAGAUCAUGUUGGCAAAUUGCUUGAAUAAUAUUGAUCAUAGUUUUCUGACCCCCAAAGUUGUUUAAAAUGAGUACAAAUAGAAGAGUUACUGUGAUGGUAAAUUGUAUAUGCCAACUUGAUUGGGACAUGGGUGUCCAGAUUAAACAUUAUUUCUGGGUGUUUCUGUGAGCAUAUUUCCUGAUGAAGGUAGCCUUAGAAUAGGUUGGCUGAGUAAAGCAGAUUUUCUUCCCCAAUGUUGAAGACCAUCCAGUCCACUGAGAGCCUGAACAGAACAAAUAGAACAAGAGAGUGGACUUCUCUCUCUCUACCUCACUGUUGAGCUAGGACAUCAAUCUCCUCCUGCUCUCCACUUAGACAACAUCGGUACUCUGAUUUUCCUAACUAUGGUGCUAGUUUUCUUGGGUCCCUAGGUUGCAGAUAGCAGAGGUGGGACUUUUUAGCCUCCAUAAUUUUGUGAGCCAAUUCCUUAUAAUAAAUCAUAUAUACACUCUCUCUGUAUAUUUGUAUAUGUCUUUAUGUGCAUUGCUUGUUUCACUUAGCCUAAUGUCCUACCAGGUCAUCCAUGCUGUAUCAUAUGACAGCAUAUUAUUUUUCAAGGCUGAUUAUUAUCCUAUUAUAUAUAUGUACUACAUUUUCUUUAUCCAUUCAUCUUUAUUAUUAUCCUAUUAUAUAUAGGUACUACAUUUUCUUUAUCCAUUGAAGGACACUUAAGCAAAUUCCAUAUUUUGACUAUUGUGAAUAAUGUGGCCAUGAACAUGGGAGUGCAGAUACCUCUGACAUACUGAUUUCAUUUCCUUUGGGUGUAUAUCCAGAAGUGGGAUUCCUGGGUCAUGCAAUGAUAUUGUCUUCAGAAAUAUGAAAAAAAUUCUAAAUUUAUAUGAAACCACAAUAAAACCCAAAUAGUCAAAAUAAUCUUGAUCAAAAAGAACAAAGCUGGAUACAUCACACUACCUAAUUGCAAAAUAUGCUACAAAGCUAUAGUAACCAAAAUAGCAUGGUAUUGACCUAAAAACAGACACAUAGACCAAUAAUAGACCAAUAAUAAUACAAUAAUAGACAUAUGGAACAGAAUAAAGCAUCCAGAAAUAAGUGCAUUUAUUUUACAGCAAACUGAUUUUUGACGAAGGUAUCAAGAAUACACAAUUGGGAAAAAAAAAUCUCUUCAGUAAAUAGUGUUGGGGAAAUUGAAUAUCCACAUGCAGAGGAAUGAAAUUAGCCCAUUAUCUCACACCACAUACAAAACACAAUUCAAAAUGGAUUAGAGACUUAAAUGAAAGACUUGAAACUGUAACAUUUUGAGAAGAAAGCACAGACAAAUUGUAUUAGUCUGUUCUCACACUGCUAUAAGGACAUGGCCGAGACUGGGUAAUUUAUAAAGGAAAGAGGUUUCAUUAACACACAGUUUUACAGGGCUGGGGAGGCCUCAGGAAACUUAUGACCAUGGCAGGAGGGGAAACAUGAUGGCAGCAAGGAGAAAUGAAGAGCAAAAGGGGAAAAAGCCUCUUGAAAACCAUCAGAUCUUAUGAGAACUCACGCACUAUAUCAGCAGAACAACAUGAGGGUAACUGUCCCCAUGAUUCAAUUACCUCCCAACGGAUCCCUCUCACUACUUGUGGGGAUUAUGGGAACUACAGUUCAAGGUGAGAUUUUGGUGGGGAAACAGGUAAACCAUAUCGGGAACAUUCUUGAUAUUCCUGUAGGGAAUAAUUGUGUGGCUCUGACCCCAAAAACACAGGCAACAAAAGGAAAAACAGCAAACAGAAUUGCAUCAAACUAAAAAGCGACUGCACAGCACAGGAAACAAUCAACAGAGUGAAGAGACAACAUAUAUAAUGGGAGAAAAUAUUUGCAAACUAUCUAUCUGAUAAGGGGUCAAUAUUCAACAUAUAUAAAGAACUCAAGCAACUCGGCAGCAACAAAGCAACCAGAUGAAAAAUUAGCCAAAGGACCUGAAUAGAUGUUUCUCCAAAAAGGCAUCCAGAUAGCCAACAUGUAUAUAUGUUCAACACAAUCAUCAGGGAAAUACAAAUCAAAACCACAAUAAGAUGUCACCUCACACCUGUUAGAAUGGCUUUUAUCAAAAAGGCAAAAGAUAAGUUUUGGCAAGGAUGUGGAGAAAAGGGAACCCUGUGCACAGUUGGUGGGAAUGUGAACUAGUAUAGUCAUUAUAGAAAAACAUAUGGAGGUUCCUAAAAAAAAUUUUGUUAUUUUAAUGUUAGACAAAAGCAUCUCAUUUUUUAUAUUAGUUUUAUCACAUGAAAGUUGUGUAAACUUUGUGUUGGUCUCAGACCUUUGUCACUAAAAUGAAGGUUAAAAUGAGAUGAGCCAUGUAACCCCCCAGAAACAGUGUCUGACAUAGAAUAACCAUGAUGGUGAGGUGUGGGAGGAGGAGGAAAAGGUGAAUUCAAGUCUGUUAUGGAAUACAUGGUUAGAAAAGUGGCAUCAGUGGUGUUGCCUUUCUUGAGAAUUUAAUUUCUCACGUUAUAUUACCUAACAUUAAGUACAAUGAAGUAUUGGAAUUCAGGAGCCAUUUAUGGCACUUUGAAAUCCAUUUUUUGUUUUCUUUCCUUUUUAAUAAUUCUACUGUGACAUUUCUCUAUUCAUUAAGUGUAUACGUGUCUUUCUUAUGUAUAUUUUAAAAAGCAAUCUUGAAUUUUGUUGUCUGAGAGAUUGGAAUUUCUAGUUUUAUUUUUCACUUGUAUUCAUAUUUGGCUUUAUUACCAUUUUUUUUUUCUUGAGACAGAGCUUCACUCUGUUGCCCAGGCUGAAGUGCAGUGGUGUGAUCUCAGCUCACUGCAACCUCUGCCUCCUGGGUUCAAGUGAUUCUCCUCCCUCAGCCUCCCAAGUAGCUGGGACUACAGAUCUGUACCACCAUGCCUGGCUAAUUUUUGUAUUUUUAGUAGAGAUGGGAUUUUGCCAUGUUGGCCAGGCUGGUCUUGAACUCCUGACCUCAAGUGAUCCACCCACCUCAGGCUCCCAAAAUGCUGGGAUUACAGGCAUGAGCCACUGUGCCUAGCCUUAUUACCUUUUUUAAUGACUGUUGAUAUUACUUAAUUACUUUAAAAACAUUGUUUAUUAUAUGUGUGUACAUGACUGCAUCUAUAUAAAGUUUGUGAUAAAAGUUACUUUAAAAACAUUUAUUAUAUGUGUGUACAUGACUACAUCUAUAUAAAGUUUGUGAUAAAAGUUAUUUCCCUUAAAGAGAGUUAUACAAUCUUAAGACAAACCAGAGUAUAUUUGUUUAUUUUAAACACUUCUGCAGAUUGUAUUUUAUUAUUCAAACUGUAAGAAUUCAUUUCCCAAUGCAUAUCUGAAAAUUAUUGAGGCAUUCAUUUUUGUAUUUCAAAACACAGUAUACUUUUAUUAUUUGUAAUGUUCUCCUCUUCUCUUCUGUUUUAUACUAAGACAAUUUAAUUGUUGGUUGCUUUAUAUAUUUUGUUUUGCUUUCCCUUUUUUCAUAGAAAGCUUUAUUUUCCAAAGUGUUUAGAGUUCAAGGUACUAAUUAUUUUUUUAUUUUAAGAGAUGUUACUUCAUUUUUUUCCUUCCCUUUUACUCUGUGUUUUCAUUGUUGCUCAGAAAAUGAAAACAAAUAUAGUAGGAUUGCUGUAUUUGGGUCUAUAUGAAUAAUGAAUUUGUGAUGUACUUAAUCUGUGAGGCCAUACAUAGUAACUUUAAUGCAGUCAACUUAGUGAAAAUUAGUGCUGUAGAUACUUUUCAUACAUUAUUUUAUUUAAUCAUUAAAGUGGCAUCAUUAUUCCCACUAAAAGAAAAGUAGGAAUGUGAGUAAACUUACUAAGGUUAAAUAGUAUUCCCAGCAACAAAUAGUUAAGGGAAGGGUUGGAGUUUCUAACCUGUAUCUGUCCUAUUCUAAAGAUGGUCCCCUCCCCUCAACCAACCUUGACAGUCCAUUCUUUCCUUUCAACUGUGUAUUUGCUUAUUUCAUUGAUUUUCCAACUUCCUUAAACAUUUAAUGUCCUCGUUAUAGGACUCAUAAUUAUCCAUGCUUAUGUAACUUUUAAUUACAGCUUAUUAACUUCCUUCCCCAUAAAUGAUUUAAAUGUGUCUAUAAUACUGAAAAGUAUCAUUUUUAAAUUAAAAUAUUUUAACUCCCACAUUUAUUUGCCACUUUUUCACUCCACGCUUGUUUAAUUUUUAGCUUGUUACACUUGAGAAUAUUUUGAAAUUGAUACAUUCUUAUUUUAGUGUCAUUUUCUUUCUAAAUAAAAUGGAAAAAAUAUAUAUUAGACUUUCCCUGCUUUGCAGUCAGCCCAUUUUCUCCACAGUCUUGAUUUCUUUUCCAGUUCGUCUGUAGGAUAAAUUCUGCUGUUCUUAAAGUUCACAAAACCUUCCCUGCCAGGAUUUGAAUGAUGGCCCUUCGGCUCAUCCCACUAAGCUUUCCCCCACAGUGGCUCAUGCACCAGAAGCCCACAGUGAGUUCCUUCCCCUUGCAUGUGCUCCACUUUUUCUACAUUUUUUUCUUUCUUUUACUUUUUGUUCCUCUGGCCUUUUUGCCUUCCUGUGCCCGAGACAAAGAGGAUUUUCUUGUUGUCUUUCUACUUCCCCUUUUGUAUUUCCUUCUCUCCAUUUCACAUCAAACUUUCAUGUUUCCCCAUCUUCUCUGUUCAUAGUUAAGAUUUUCACCUUGCUGAUUUCAUGGGAUUAACAGUGAGCAAUAUUUUCUGAGUAAUCUUAAAGAAGUUCUAUAACAACAAUUUAUUUUCAUUGUUUUUUCAAGUUCCACUGCCAGUGUGCUCUUCCUUUUAUUAAGUGAGCCAGGCCAUAGACACAUGAAUCCAAGUGGCAGUUGGUAAAAUAGUGUGUACCACAGUAUUAAGUAUAACUUUUCUGUGACAGGUCCUGGUGUUGGGAACAUUUCUCCAGUAAACGAGGCACACUCUCAAUGCAGAGACAAGCUCUCAUUCAGUUUUAUGCUCAAGGUGCCUAGCAGUGUCAAGCCUAUGGAAAUAUUUGUUGAGUGAACAAUGCAUGAGUGGAAAAAAAAACAACAAAAUCAAAUCCGAGGUUUUCCUCAUAAAUAACCAACUAUAAAGCUAUCAACUAACAAAUGCUUGUCCUUUUAUAAUUAACACCAGUAUUUUUUGGGGGGCUGGGGGAGAGAGUCUACUCUGCCUUAGGAUAAAAUGAGCUUAUUUAACUAUAAUUCCAUUGAAUCAUAUGGCAUGACUUUAUUUUAGAUAAUUACACAGUCCAGUGUAUCUGGAUAUAUAAAGUAUCAUAUGAAAUAUUUACUAAUAUUUUUAAGUAAGUGUAAAUUUUCAUGUCAAUAUUUAAUUUGGAUAAGCUUCUAGCCAUUAUUCAUCAUGGUUUUUUUUAUGCAUACUUUUAUAAAGCUGUGAUCAGUAAAAAUUCACCAAUAUGAGAAGAUUAUAAUAUGUUGCAAAUAUUGUAAAGCUGAAAAUGGCAGAAAAAAUAAAAAUGAAAUCAUAAACUGAGAUUUUGUUCUUAAGACAAUGUGCUGUAAAGAGGAAAGGAGCAAUAAAAUAAUAAAAAUACAAAAUAUUUUUGUUUUAUAAGUUUAUUUUGGUAAUUACAUAAAGCUAUAUAAGAUGGUUCUACCCGUCAUUUAUACAAGCCAAUUCUAACGUCACCAUCUGUGGAAGAGGACAGAAAAAUAAAAAUAAACAAAUAAGCCAAUUCCACCCCACACACUCGCCCCCAUGCAUACACAUACAUAUACAUCUUUUAGUUUUAUAUUAACCUGAUGCCUAUAACAUGCCCAUUAGGAAACUGGCGGAUAAACAGGUUUCACAUUCUGAAGUCCCAGACUACGUUAGUCAAAUUGAACCCUUCAGCACUUAUGCCUUUUCUGUGUUUUCUGUCAUCAAACUGCUUAACUUAGUUUAAAUUUUUAUUUAUUUUAAAUAAACUAUGCAUACAUUCUAAAAAUUAAAAAGUAUAUACUCAUAUAAGCUAUUGAAUUAGAGUUUCUUCUAAUUAUUUGAGAGUUAUUUUCUUUAAGGAAGAGAAAGAAAACCACAAAGCUUCACUACCGUUUUCUUGUUAGAUGUUAGACUCUUUUGUGUUUGAAGAAAUGGCCACUGAAUGAACAUUAAGCAAGGGAGGUUUAUUUUUAUGAUUGAAAGCAUAACAAAAUAUAGGACAUAGUUUGAAGAGCACACCUUCAGUGAAAAAAGUCAGCUUUCCCUAUAUGUCUAUAACAAGAGAGAACAACCCAGGCCUUCUCUGGCUGCAGAGGUGAGCUACCUCAUGGCCCCAGGCAUGCUUUGCUUUCUCCUUUCCUGAUCUGCCACUUUUGUGGCUCAGCUGUUUUCUCCUUAUGCUUGUGGUGCUUUAUGCUUGUGAUGCUGACUCACUCUAGUUCAAACUCUAAAGGGACAAGGUGGCUGACUGUAUUAUUUUCUCAAUAUUCACUAUCACGACCUACCAUGUCUCUUCUAUGGGCCGCUCUAUGGAAAAACUGCACAUGCCUGCUCUCUUGACCACACCUAUGUCAUGCCACUUGCUUGGCCAAUGUAAUGUGAGUAGAAGUGGUGUAUGUCAUGCCCAAGUAGGUGCUUCAAUAAGUCAGAAUGUUGUUUACUAUGUCCGUUUCCCCUCAACCAGCAGAUUGACAAUGUUCAAAUAGAGGUUCUCUGUCAAUCUGUCUCCUGAACUGAAGACACUUGGAACAAAUCUACAGUCAACCACAAUGGAUAUGUACCAUGAGUAAGACAUUCUUGAUUGUUAUUUUACACCACUGAGAUUUUAGGGUGAUUCUUCUAUCAUAGAAUAAUAUAGCAAAUCCUGAUACAGAAAUUCUAAGAUGGCCAGGUGUGGUGGCUCACGCCUGUAAUCUCAGCACUUUGGGAGGCUGAGGUGGGUGGAUCCUGAGGUCAGGAGUUCAAGACCAGACUGACCAACAUGGUGAAAUCCUAUCUCUACCAAAAAUAGAAAACAAAACAAAAAAAUUAGCUGGGCGUGGUGGCGCACGUCUGUAAUCCCAGCCACUCUGAAGGCUGAAGCAGGAAAAUUGCUUAAACCCGGAAGGCAAAGGUUGCAGUGAGCCAAGAUCACACCACUGCUCUCCAGCCUGAGCAACAAGCAAGACUCCAUCUCAAAACAAACAAACAAACAAACAAAAAAGAAAUUAUAAGAUCAGUUGCCUAGCAUUAACCUAAGGAAUUUAUCUUGGGUGGUGCUAUUGUACCAACUUAUGGGUUGAUAGCCUAUACAUUGGCUACCUUUUAGUUAUACAGCUAUUCCUCAUUUAGUCAUCUGUGGCCAGCAGAGAAAUUUCAGGUAGAAACAGACAUGAUUAUCUGGUCAUAAAGAAUAUCUCAGAGUUUUCUUUUGAAAACUUUCUUGUUCUAAAGAGGCAAGAACAUAACAGCCAACAUAAUACAAUUGGAUUUUGAUAUAUGUUUGAGUAAAAGACAAAAUAAUUUGGGAGCAACAUUCUUGUCUAAUAAAACUUGUGGCCAACUUAUUUGUGAGUGGUGAGAUUAAAAGUUCUUUGUUCAAAAGGCAACUUGCCUAUUCAGUAUUAAUCCAGUGAUACAUGCAAUGUUUUGGAAAUAAUUAUAUAUAUUCUAGAGAAGAAAUUCAGAUAUUAGGACAUAGGACAUAGCUAUAAAAAGCAUUUUUAAAUUUAGAAAAUAAAUCCCUUUAUAAUUCCAACUAUAUCCAUGUGCUAAAUGUCAUUGUGACAUAAUUUUAAGUUUUACAAAAUGAAUUUUAAACUGUGGAGAUUAUAAUGAAAUCCUUUUUCUUCUUUGUGAAGUAAAAUGUCAUUGAAGUAGGUUCAAUGUGACCUUUAUUCAGAGUUGCAACUAUUACGCUACAUAAAGUGUUCAAACUAUGCAGUGCCAGAUGAAAUUAUAGCAAGUGAAAUCACUAAAGCACUCCUAGAAACAUUCAGACCGUUAUGUGUUUAUACAUUUUCAUUCAUGUAGCCAUUCAUUCAUUCCUCCAUUUAAUCAGUGAAUAGUUAUCGAAUGUUUAUUAUGUGCUAAGGACUAUGCUAACUAUUCAGAAAGCAGCAGCAAAAAGCACACAGAUCUGUUUGGAAGUUUUCCUCCUGACAAAUGUCUUUAAAUUAAUAAGCAGUAACUAGUUAUGUGCAUUCCACAUUCUAAGAAUUUAAGACAAUUAAAAGAAAAUAAAACUAGCAUUUUAGAAGAGUAGACCAGAAUAAGAAUAUGUCAUAAAAUAUUCAGAAAGUACAUCAUAAUAUAAACGCAAUAGCGUUUAUUUACUUUCAUGUCUAUGAGAAAUAUAUUGGUUAAUAGAUUAUAUGUUCUAAAUAGUACUAGUGAAUAUCUUAAGUGAAAUGUUUUCCCUUGAAUCAUUUUGGAAAUUACAUUUUUCAGUUAGCAAAUAUUUUGUUAUAUAAAAUAAUUUUAGUAAAUCUCAGGGUAUAUUAAAAUAUUAAUAUUUAUCACAUAAUACAUUAUUUUAGUAUUAUAGGAUUUCCCAAGAUGACAAAAGCAGGUCUAAUUUAUUCCCUGAAGAAAGUAAUAUUUUAAUAUGAAUGAUGAAAUAAUAUUGCAUAGAUUUUUAAUACAAAUAAGUCUAUAACAAGUAUUAUAAGGGAAGUACAGGUAAAUCAUAGAUAGUUUAGAGAAGAGCAAAAUCACCCUUUGAUGUAAGAUUAGAAGAUAUUUUUCUCAAAGGUAACCUUUAUGUUUUGCCUUAUAGAUAACAACAAUUUCAGUAGUCAUAACAAAGCAUAAAUGAAGAGAUUAAUGUAGGGUAAGAUUGACAAGGCUGUAACACGAGCGUGAGAAAAUGUGAAUGGUUCACUUUGUCUGGAGCAUAGUUUUGCGUAAAGUGCAGAACAAAGUUGAAUUGACGGGAGGAACUUGAUGAUAGGGCACCUUAAACAUUACUUUAAAGAAACUAACUCAUUCCAUUGGAAGUAGGGAGACAGUGAUAGUUUUUUCACAGAAAGCAGGAUAAGCAUAAGUUUUUCACUAGAAAGUUUAAUCUAACAAUAGUGUGCAGAAUACAUUACAAAUGGAAGAUGGUAGCACUAGGAAUAAUAUAAAUAAAAGCAAUUGAGGAUCUUUAAACAUUUAAAGGAGGAGAUAGGAGAAAAUCAAAGAUAUUAAACAUAAUGAUGAAGAGAAAAUACAACAGAGUAAGGCAGUAGAGAGUGGGAAAGUCAGAGAUUCUUGUCAGAAUAGGGAAACUCAAAAUUCUUGAUUUUGAAUAUCAAACAAUUUCAAGAAAUAAG
rnacentral:lncRNA from 1 species